CCUACGGGAGGCAGCAGUAGGGAAUCUUCCGCAAUGGACGAAAGUCUGACGGAGCAACGCCGCGUGAGUGAUGAAGGCUUUCGGGUCGUAAAACUCUGUUGUUAGGGAAGAACAAGUACGAGAGUAACUGCUCGUACCUUGACGGUACCUAACCAGAAAGCCACGGCUAACUACGUGCCAGCAGCCGCGGUAAUACGUAGGCGGCAAGCGUUAUCCGGAAUUAUUGGGCGUAAAGCGCGCGCAGGCGGUUUCUUAAGUCUGAUGUGAAAGCCCACGACUCAACCGUGGAGGGUCAUUGGAAACUGGGGAACUUGAGUGCAGAAGAGAAAAGCGGAAUUCCACGUGUAGCGGUGAAAUGCGUAGAGAUGUGGAGGAACACCAGUGGCGAAGGCGGCUUUUUGGUCUGUAACUGACGCUGAGGCGCGAAAGCGUGGGGAGCAAACAGGAUUAGAUACCCAGGUAGUCCACGCCGUAAACGAUGAGUGCUAAGUGUUAGAGGGUUUCCGCCCUUUAGUGCUGCAGCUAACGCAUUAAGCACUCCGCCUGGGGAGUACGGUCGCAAGACUGAAACUCAAAUGAAUUGACGGGG
rnacentral:rRNA from 1 species